rnacentral:misc_RNA from 1 species
GUAUUUAGAAUUAUUUAUUCGAAAUAGCUUCAGACAAAAAAAAUUACAAUAAAGGGUUGGUAUUAUACUGUCGCGACGUCUGAACGACUCGACAGCAAACAUUGCACACAAGGUGAGUACUUGUUUAAAAAGUGCAGUAAAACACUUAUUAUGAAUGAUCCUUCCGCAGGUUCACCUACGGAAA